rnacentral:lncRNA from 1 species
CCCAGCCACCCCCUCCCCAUCCCCAACCCCUCCGCAUUUGUGUGCAAGGGGGCGCGGGGCCGUGCAAUGCACGGUGCUGCAGUCGUGCAUGGGGCUGGGCUUGCACGUCUGCAGGGGGUUGUGCUGGUGAUUGUGCACGUGGUUGUGCAUGCAAGUGUGCACAAGGCUGUGCUUGUGCAUGCGGUGGUGCUCACAGUCAUGCACACCAUUGCAUUUGUGUGUGGUAGUGCAUGCAAGUGUGCACAAGGCUGUGCUCGUGCACGCAGUGGUGCUCACAAUCUUGCAUGCGGUUGCAUUUGUGCAGGGGGCUGUGCUUGCAAGCGUGCAUAGGAUUGUGCAAAUAUUUGUGCAUGUAGCAGUGCCUGCAAGUGUGCACGGGGCUGUGCUUGUGAUCAUGAGCACGCUCACCAUCAUGCAUGCUGUUUCACUCGUACACGGAGCUGUGCUUGCACGUGUGCAUGGGGACGUGCUAGCAGUUGUGCACGUGGCACAGCUUGCAAAUGUGCACAAGGCUGUGCUUGCGCAUGCAGCCAUGCUCGUGAUUGUGCAUGCCAUCGCACUUGUGCAACGUGCACAGCUUGCAAAUGUGCACUUGUGCAUGCAGCCAUGCUCGUGAUUGUGCAUGCCAUUGCACUCAUGCAGGGACUGUGCUUGCACGUCUGCACAGAGACGUGCUAACAACUGUGCACAUUGUGCUUGCAAGUGUGCACAGGGCUGUGCUUGUGCAUGCGGUGGUGCUCACAAUCGUGCAUGCUGUUACAUUUGUGCACGGGGCUGUGCUCGUGCAUGCAGUGGUGCUCACAAUCACGCGUGCAGUUGCACUCAUGCAUGGGGCUGUGCUUGCAAGCAUGCACGGGGACGUGCUAACGAUUGUGCUUGUGACAGUGCUCACAAGUGUGCACAGGACUGUGCUUGUGCAGACAGUGGAGCUCAUGAUUGUGCACGCCAUUGCAUUCAUGCACGGGGCUGUGCUUGCACGGGUGCAUGGCUUUGUGCAUGCAACAGUGCUUGCAAGCAUGCACGGGGCGUGCUUGUGCAUGCAGUCACAUUUGCACAUGGGGCUGUGCAUGCAAGUGUGCAUUGGUCUGCUAAUGAGUGUGCACACAGUAGUGCUCGCGAGUGUGCACAGAGCUGUGCUCGUGCAUGCUGCAGCACUCAUGAGUGUGCACACUNNNNNNNNNNGAGCCGAACCGGGCCGAGCGGAGCCGAACCCGGCCGAAAGGAGCCGAAAGGAGCCGAGCGGAGCCGAACCCCCCCGAAGGGAAACCCGAACCCGCCCGAACGGAGCUAACGAUUGUGCACGUGGUUGUGCUUGCAAGUGUGCAUGGGGCUGUGCUUGUGCAAACAGCUGUGCACACGUGUGCACACGUGCACGGGGCUGUGCUCANNNNNNNNNNUUCCGAACGGUGCCGAACGGAGCCGAACGGAGCCGAACCCGCCCCUCGGCGGUCCCGAACCCUCCCGAAUGGUUCCGAAUGGUUCCGAAAGGAGCCGAACCCCCCUCGGGGCGGCCCCGAACCCUCCCGAACGGUCCCGAACGGUUCCGAACGGUCCCGAACGGUCCCGAACGGUCCCGAAUGGUUCCGAAUGGUUCCGAACGGUCCCGAACGGUCCCGAACGGUUCCGAACCGGCCCGAGCGGCUGCCUG